GAUGAACGCUGGCGGCGUGCCUAAUACAUGCAAGUCGAGCGAACGGACGAGAAGCUUGCUUCUCUGAUGUUAGCGGCGGACGGGUGAGUAACACGUGGAUAACCUACCUAUAAGACUGGGAUAACUUCGGGAAACCGGAGCUAAUACCGGAUAAUAUUUUGAACCGCAUGGUUCAAAAGUGAAAGACGGUCUUGCUGUCACUUAUAGAUGGAUCCGCGCUGCAUUAGCUAGUUGGUAAGGUAACGGCUUACCAAGGCAACGAUGCAUAGCCGACCUGAGAGGGUGAUCGGCCACACAGGAACUGAGACACGGUCCAGACUCCUACGGGAGGCAGCAGUAGGGAAUCUUCCGCAAUGGGCGAAAGCCUGACGGAGCAACGCCGCGUGAGUGAUGAAGGUCUUCGGAUCGUAAAACGCUGUUAUUAGGGAAGAACAUAUGUGUAAGUAACUGUGCACAUCUUGACGGUACCUAAUCAGAAAGCCACGGCUAACUACGU
rnacentral:rRNA from 1 species